GCCGUAUCUAGCCCAAAAUUGACAAAAUUUAAUUAUAGUUCAUAACUAAAACAAAACAUUUACCUAACUAUUAAAAGUAUAGGAGAUAGAAAUUCUAACUUGGCGCUAUAGAGAAAGUACCGUAAGGGAACGAUGAAAGAAUAUACUAAAGCCAUAAACAGCAAAGCUUACCCCUUGUACCUUUUGCAUAAUGAUUUAACUAGAAUGACUUAGCAAAGAGAACUUAAGUUAAUAUCCCCGAAACCAGACGAGCUAUUCAUAAGCAGCCCUACAGAGCAAACUCCUCUAUGUAGCAAAAUAGUGAGAAGACUUAUGAAUAGAGGUGAAAAGCCUAUCGAGCCUGGUGAUAGCUGGUUGUCCAGAAAAGAACCUCAGUUCAACUUUAAGCCUACCUAAAACAUAAAUAAUUCUACUGUAGACUUAAAAGAUAAUCUAAAGAGGUACAGCCCUUUAAACACAGGUUACAACCUUAUCUAGAGAGCAAGUAUAUAAAUAAACUAUAGUGGGCCUAAAAGCAGCCAUCAAUAAAGAAAGCGUUCAAGCUCAACAACAUAAUAUAUUUAAUCCCAACAAUAAUUACCAACUCCUAGAACUAAAACUGGACCAUUCUAUAAUUAUAUAGAAGAAAUACUGUUAAUAUGAGUAACAAGAAUUUAAUUCUCCCCGCACAAGUGUAUAUCAGAACGAAUAAUCACUGAUAGUUAACAUUUACAGAGCAAGCUAAACACAAGCCCUCUAUCCCCCUAUUGUUAACCCAACACAGGAGUGCCCCAGGGAAAGAUUAAAAGGAGUAAAAGGAACUCGGCAAAUAUAAACUCCGCCUGUUUACCAAAAACAUCACCUCUAGCAUCACCAGUAUUAGAGGCACUGCCUGCCCAGUGACAUACGUUUAACGGCCGCGGUAUUCUGACCGUGCAAAGGUAGCAUAAUCACUUGUUCUCUAAAUAAGGACUUGUAUGAACGGCCACACGAGAGUUUUACUGUCUCUUACUCCCAAUCAGUGAAAUUGACCUUCCCGUGAAGAGGCGGGAAUACUAUAAUAAGACGAGAAGACCCUAUGGAGCUUUAAUUGAUUAACCUAAGAGUAAAAAUUAAUCACCAAUAAGGAAUAAAAUAACUUCAACAUAGGUUAAUAAUUUAGGUUGGGGUGACCUCGGAGAACAAUAUAUCCUCCAAGCAAUUCUAAGCCUAGACUUACUAGUCAAAGCCACACUAUUUACUGAUCCAAAAUUUUUUGAUCAACGGACCAAGUUACCCUAGGGAUAACAGCGCAAUCCUAUUUAAGAGUCCCUAUCGACAAUAGGGUUUACGACCUCGAUGUUGGAUCAGGAUAUCCUAAUGGUGCAACAGCUAUUAAUGGUUCGUUUGUUCAACGAUUAAAAUCCUACGUGAUCUGAGUUCAGACCGGAGCAAUCCAGGUCGGUUUCUAUCUAUUUCUAUGUCUCUCCCAGUACGAAAGGACCAGAAAGACAGGGCCUCCCUAAAUCUAAGCGCCCUCCAACAAAACAGAUGAUAUAAUCUUAAUCUGACAUACGAUACCCAUACAGCCCUAGAUAAGGGCCU
rnacentral:rRNA from 1 species